AUUGAACGCUGGCGGCAGGCCUAACACAUGCAAGUCGAGCGGGGUUUUCGGACCUAGCGGCGGACGGGUGAGUAAUGCGUAGGAAGCUGCCCGAUAGAGGGGGAUACCAGUUGGAAACGACUGUUAAUACCGCAUAAUGUCUACGGACCAAAGUGUGGGCACUUCGGGCCACAUGCUAUCGGAUGCGCCUACGUGGGAUUAGCUAGUUGGUGAGGUAAUGGCUCACCAAGGCGACGAUCUCUAGCUGGUUUGAGAGGAUGAUCAGCCACACUGGAACUGAGACACGGUCCAGACUCCUACGGGAGGCGGCAGUGGGGAAUAUUGGACAAUGGGCGCAAGCCUGAUCCAGCCAUGCCGCGUGUGUGAAGAAGGCCUUCGGGUUGUAAAGCACUUUCAGCGAGGAGGAAUGGGUGUGUGUUAAUAGUACACACCUUUGACGUUACUCGCAGAAGAAGCACCGGCUAACUCUGUGCCAGCAGCCGCAGUAAGAC
rnacentral:rRNA from 1 species